CAGUCGCCGCGGUAAUACGAAGGGGGCUAGCGUUGUUCGGAUUUACUGGGCGUAAAGCGCACGUAGGCGGAUCGAUCAGUCAGGGGUGAAAUCCCAGAGCUCAACUCUGGAACUGCCUUUGAUACUGUCGAUCUGGAGUAUGGAAGAGGUGAGUGGAAUUCCGAGUGUAGAGGUGAAAUUCGUAGAUAUUCGGAGGAACACCAGUGGCGAAGGCGGCUCACUGGUCCAUUACUGACGCUGAGGUGCGAAAGCGUGGGGAGCAAACAGGAUUAGAUACCCCCGUAGUCCCUGUCUCUUAUAU
rnacentral:rRNA from 1 species